AGAGUUUGAUCAUGGCUCAGAUUGAACGCUGGCGGCAGGCCUAACACAUGCAAGUCGAGCGGCAGCGCGGGGGCAACCCUGGCGGCGAGCGGCGGACGGGUGAGGAAUACAUCGGAAUCUACCCAGUCGUGGGGGAUAACGUAGGGAAACUUACGCUAAUACCGCAUACGACCUGAGGGUGAAAGCAGGGGAUCGCAAGACCUUGCGCGAUUGGAUGAGCCGAUGUCCGAUUAGCUAGUUGGCGGGGUAAAAGCCCACCAAGGCGACGAUCGGUAGCUGGUCUGAGAGGAUGAUCAGCCACACUGGAACUGAGACACGGUCCAGACUCCUACGGGAGGCAGCAGUGGGGAAUAUUGGACAAUGGGCGCAAGCCUGAUCCAGCCAUGCCGCGUGUGUGAAGAAGGCCUUCGGGUUGUAAAGCACUUUUGUCCGGGAAGAAAAGCUCUGGGUUAAUACCCUGGGGUUCUGACGGUACCGGAAGAAUAAGCACCGGCUAACUUCGUGCCAGCAGCCGCGGUAAUACGAAGGGUGCAAGCGUUACUCGGAAUUACUGGGCGUAAAGCGUGCGUAGGUGGUUCGUUAAGUCUGCCGUGAAAGCCCCGGGCUCAACCUGGGAAUGGCGGUGGAUACUGGCGGACUAGAGUGCGGUAGAGGGUGGUGGAAUUCCCGGUGUAGCAGUGAAAUGCGUAGAGAUCGGGAG
rnacentral:rRNA from 1 species